rnacentral:rRNA from 1 species
CCUACGGGGUGCAGCAGUGAGGAAUAUUGGUCAAUGGGCGGGAGCCUGAACCAGCCAAGUCGCGUGAGGGAAGACGGUCCUAUGGAUCGUAAACCUCUUUUAUAAGGGAAUAAAGUGUGGGACGUGUCCUGUUUUGUAUGUACCUUAUGAAUAAGGAUCGGCUAACUCCGUGCCAGCAGCCGCGGUAAUACGGAGGAUCCGAGCGUUAUCCGGAUUUAUUGGGUUUAAAGGGUGCGUAGGCGGCCUUUUAAGUCAGCGGUGAAAGUCUGUGGCUCAACCAUAGAAUUGCCGUUGAAACUGGGAGGCUUGAGUAUGUUUGAGGCAGGCGGAAUGCGUGGUGUAGCGGUGAAAUGCUUAGAUAUCACGCAGAACCCCGAUUGCGAAGGCAGCCUGCCAAGCCAUGACUGACGCUGAUGCACGAAAGCGUGGGGAUCAAACAGGAUUAGAUACCCCAGUAGUC